ensembl:lncRNA
GGGAGAGGAGAGAAGGGGUGUGGGUAGGACAGUGGUGUGGGCAGAAUGAGACAACGGAUAUGAAAUCCUGCAAGGGUUAGUCACUAAUUACUUGGUGGAAGUAAGUGUCCUACCAGUCCAGAUUACUUGAAGGCUGAUGUUUUUAAAGAGCAGACUUCCCUGGAGGAUGAUCUGGGAGAGGCUUACUCACUGCUUUAAAGGAAGUUCCUUCAGGUCCCAUUCAGGUCUACUGAGGAAAACUGAAGUAUUGUGGAGUCCACGAAGCUUGCUGCCCAUGUCGGAAGCAGCUCCUGGGCCGGGGGCCGUGGUUCUCAAGCUAACCAUGCUUCACAGGCACCUAGAAGGCUGGUUAAACAAGAUGGCCACAUCCCUCCUCCAGAAUUUCCACAUAUAGCAAGUUGCCAGGUGCUGCUGCUUUGGUUCAGGAGCCCACACUUUGAGAAUCAUCACUGAUGAAAAAUAACCACAGCCCUGAUGCCAGGUGUGGCUCCCCACGUGGCCUCUCUUGUGGAGACACCAGCUCUGCUCCCUGCUAGCAGAGGAAGACAGUCUGCAUUUCAUAGAUUAGUAAGGACCCUUUGCCCUUCUUUCCUAAUCAGUGGUCAGAAGUGAAAGUCACUGGCUCUUAGUGAUUCAACUUGAGAGCUGGCUUGGCCAGUGGUCCAGGGAAGAGGGUUUAACCACACACCUAAAUGAAUGGGUUUGAUCAAUAAUUAAAUGAGCUGUUUCUGGCAUGAUUGUGAUGGUGAAGCCAUGGUCACGCCGCCCGGUGAAGGAGGCAGUUAGGAGCGGUUUUGCUUGUUCAUGCUGGGUUCAAAAGGGCUUCAGGGAGUCAGAAACUGAGCCAGACAGAAUAAAAAUAAUUUUUAAAGAAGGAAACCAGCCCUACUGAGAGGUAAUGGUGAGAGACUAUAAAGUGUUGCUAAGGGUGGGUUUCUAAACCUCUUUCUCAUACUUGGGAGUUGCCAAACUUAUAAACUUGAGUCCACCUCCCACAAAAGAGACUGAAACUGCCAGGCUCUUGCCUCCUGGCCCUUCCUGGCAUUUAUGGGACCUGAUGGAGACUCUAUCCUUGUGUGCACUAACUUCAGACUCCACUAGAAGUUAAAGACCCAAGAAACAGGCAUCACCAAGAAUCCACCUGCCAAUAGGCAGGACAACAACACUGAGUUUCUAGAAGCAUCUGGGGCAGCAGUCCAAGAAACCUCACAAGCAUACAGGGUUUCAGCACUUUUUGAAUCGGAGGCAAAACACCCCAACGGACAAAGGGAGCAACUGGAUGGAAUACGCUCCUGGCGAAGCUCCUACAGGUACAAGUGAUGGACACAGAGGAGGAAAUGCGUCUUAAUUGGUAGCGUGAAAAACAUUUCCCAGGUGCUCCACUGGGUUGUAAGUGCCAUCUGUCCUGCCACAGAGGAUUAGAGGGAAGAACACCUCGCUCUGGGUUCUGGGGAUGGUGCAGGCAUCGAGGCUCCUCGGUCCAUGGGAUUUCCCAGGCAAGAAUACUGGAGUGGGUCGCCACUUCCUUCUCCAGGGGAUCUUCCUGACCCAGGGAUGGAACACGAGUCUCUUUCCUCUCCUGCGCCACCUGGGAAGCCCUCUUGGUCAAUAUACUCCAUGUUAUUUGAUGCCUGAUCUUUCAAGGGAAUGAGAAAUAAAGUUUACUUCUUCAUUCUGGCCCUGUCUUCUCUUAGACAUCCUCUUUUACUUAUUUACUAACUCCAUAAUUACUGAGUUCCCAUGAAGGGGCCAAGCUCUGUGUUGGGUCCUGGGGACACGAAGGAAGAGAUGACAUUUUUUUCUGAACUCAGGAAGUUCACUUUCUUGGAUGGGAGGUGGGGAGGGCGUCAGACAUGUAAACAAAAUGCAACACAAUGUAAUAAGCGGAUAUAAUAGAUACACAAAGAAUCCUGGGGGGAGAGAGAGAGGGAUAUAUAUAUGCAUUCAUACAUGAUAUCCGAUGGCAUUAUUAGCUAAAAGAUUCCUGGAACUUUCAGCUACUUUGGCCAAUAAAUCUUUUUGUGUAAGCUAGUUUGCUCCCAGUUUUAGGCAUUUCCAAUAAUACAGGAAUCACAGGAGGGCUGGGUGCACCAGAGAGUAUGUUACAUGCAAUGCCGUGAAAGAACAAGGCCUGUCUUUGGAAUAUUGAGUUAAUUGAUACAACUGCACUUUCAUCAUAUGGUCCAGAUGAUUCUAAACAUGCACAAGAACCCCUGCUUUAAAGAGUACCCAUCUAUUGGUAUCUGACAAAUCCCAAUUUUGAUCCUUCAUUGAAGCAGAUUUUUUCAAAAACUUUAUACAGUUACUCAUCACACUCACCCUAUGGAAAUAAGCUUAAGAAAAUUUAAUCCUAUAUCCUUGGCUUUCAAUACCAAUAUGC